rnacentral:misc_RNA from 1 species
GCCAGGUUUGGUUUGGUUCCUAUUUGUUUGUUGCUAUAUGAAUCUCCCUUUUUAGCCUGUGUUUGCAUAAACUGCCAACACUUUUUCAUAUCUGAAGAAAAAGUUCUUUUGAACUAUAACUUGUAUUCUGUGCUUUUUGAACUAUUUAUGCAUCAAUAUCUAGACUGGUUGCACUCUUUUUCUUGUUAUUAAACCUUUUUACGCUUUAGAGGAAGAUGCAAAAUAUGCUCUCAGUUGUGCAGGUAGAUUAAAAUUUAAAGGUAUAUUCAUAACAUUGUUCAUAAUAAUCAAUUCAUGGAAAGCUAUUA